CUCGGGAAUUGCGUCUCUCUGAUGAGCCUGAAAAAAGGCGAAACAGGUG
rnacentral:hammerhead_ribozyme from 13 species